GAACGCUGGCGGCAGGCCUAACACAUGCAAGUCGAACGCACUCUUCGGAGUGAGUGGCAGACGGGUGAGUACACGUGGGAACGUACCCUUCGGUUCGGAAUAACUCAGGGAAACUUGAGCUAAUACCGGAUACGUCCGAGAGGAGAAAGAUUUAUCGCCGAUGGAUCGGCCCGCGUCUGAUUAGCUAGUUGGUGAGGUAAUGGCUCACCAAGGCAACGAUCAGUAGCUGGUCUGAGAGGAUGAUCAGCCACAUUGGGACUGAGACAC
rnacentral:rRNA from 1 species